rnacentral:tRNA from 1 species
GGAGAGGUGGUAGAGUCGGUUGAUUGCGUCUGAUUUGAAAUCAGAUGAACCCUUAGGGUUCCGUGGGUUCGAAUCCCACCCUCUCCG